UAUCUUUAUUUAACAGCAAAAUAAUCACACAGGUUUUGAGCACCAGGCUGUUUUAAUAGGACAAAUAAAUGGCGAGAAGUGUCAUCCGGCUCUGAAGACGCCUCCUUUUCUGGGUAUAUAAGUGAUCAAGCCUUUAGACAUUCAAUGCAAGAAUCGCAGGGAAAUCCAUCCGGAUAAACAUGAAGACCUUCAGUAUUCUUGUUGCUGUCGUUCUCGCCGUCAUCUGCCUUCAGCAGAUCUCUGCUGUUCCACUCAUUCAGAUGGUAGAAACUGGGCAGGUGACUGAAAAUGUCACGCACUCGUCUGAACCUAUGUUCCGUCAGAAACUACACCCGGAACUUCUUCAUUUGCUCCUGUGGCACCUGGAUCAGGUCUAGAUGGUGUGAACUCUGAAAGUCCAGAAAAGUGUAUGAAGAAAAUUGUUCUGUCUUUGUCUGGUCACAGCUCUCAAACACACUGAAUAAACACCAUAGUGCA